UACGUAGGCAGCAAGCGUUGUUCGGAAUUACUGGGCGUAAAGAGUGUGUAGGCGGUGCUCUAAGUUCGGUGUGAAAUCUCCCGGCUCAACUGGGAGGGUGCGCCGGAAACUGGGGUGCUGGAGCGCGGGAGAGGAAAGCGGAAUUCCUGGUGUAGCGGUGAGAUGCGUAGAUAUCAGGAGGAACACCGGCGGUGUAGACGGCUUUCUGGACCGUAGCUGACGCUGAGACACGAAAGCGUGGGUAGCAAACAGG
rnacentral:rRNA from 1 species